rnacentral:rRNA from 1 species
ACCAGACUCCUACGGGAGGCAGCAGUGGGGGAUAUUGCACAAUGGGGGGAACCCUGAUGCAGCGACGCCGCGUGGGUGAAGGAGUGCUUCGGCAUGUAAAGCCCUAUCGGCAGGGAAGAAGCAAGACGGUACCUGACUAAGAAGCCCCGGCUAACUACGUGCCAGCAGCCGCGGUAAUACGUAGGGGGCGAGCGUUAUCCGGAAUGACUGGGUGUAAAGGGAGCGUAGACGGUUGUACAAGUCUGAUGUGAAAGCCCACGGCUCAACUGUGGGAGUGCAUUGGAAACUGUAGAACUAGAGUAUCGGAGAGGCAAGUGGAAUUCCUAGUGUAGCGGUGAAAUGCGUAGAUAUUAGGAGGAACACCAGUGGCGAAGGCGGCUUGCUGGACGAAAACUGACGUUGAGGCUCGAAAGCGUGGGGAGCAAACAGGAUUAGAUACCCGUGUA